UCGGGAAUUUUGGGCAAUGGGCGAAAGCCUGACCCAGCAACGCCGCGUGAAGGAUGAAAUCCUUCGGGAUGUAAACUUCGCAAGAACGGGAAGAAUAAGCCGGUGUUAACACCAUCGGUGAUGACGGUACUGUUUGUAAGCUCCGGCUAACUCCGUGCCAGCAGCCGCGGUAAUACGGGGGGAGCAAGCGUUGUUCGGAUUUACUGGGCGUAAAGGGCGCGUAGGCGGCCACCGCAAGUCGGUUGUGAAAUCUCCGGGCUUAACCCGGAAAGGUCAAUCGAUACUGCGGGGCUAGAGUGCAGAAGGGGCAACUGGAAUUCUCGGUGUAGCGGUGAAAUGCGUAGAUAUCGAGAGGAACACCUGCGGCGAAGGCGGGUUGCUGGGCUGACACUGACGCUGAAGCGCGAAAGCUAGGGGAGCGAACGG
rnacentral:rRNA from 1 species